GUUACAUCAGUUGCCAUGCAAUCCCCUAUAUGGAGAAAAACAAGGAAAUUUUGCAUGAAAUUAACUCCUUCUUUUUAAAUUACAUAUCUUAGAAAAUGCUAUAUGAGUUCUGAGCCUUCUCUAGAGUAUACACCAUAAAUGAUUUGGUUAAAACCAGGAUAACGGCUGUUUGCCAAAGAACAUUGGUUGCAGAAAUAGUUACUGUUCAGACUAUAACACACAUCAUUCCAGUUAGCCAUGAAGGGUUAAGACUUAUGAAAAAGAGAAAUUGACAGUAUUUUGAGCUUUUUGGAAUUUUUGGAAAAAGGCUUGGAAUGACAUGGCAUUUUGAACAAGGUCCUAAUAAGAUCAGCUGCUUUCCUGACUUUAAAUAUUUAUGAGUUAUGCGUAAGAGCUCAUACUGCACUUCAGGUUCUUUCACACAUACAGGAGGAGGUUGGCACAAAUCUAUAACAGGAAUGACUGGUUUUACAUCUGAAGAAUAUUCUUUCUCAGUUAGUCUCAAUAAAAGUGAAUUCCCAAGUCUCGAUCCCAAAAAUAAAAACUUAUCUUCACACAGGCACAUCUAAAACAAACAAUCCAAAGUUGUUAAGACGCUGGCUGCAGCUUUCUGAAAAUGAAAACUACGCACACUCCUCAUACUAUCGGCAUGAAGUGUCAAUACGUAUAAUUC